GACGAACGCUGGCGGCGUGCCUAAUACAUGCAAGUAGAACGCUGAGGAGCGGAGCUUGCUCUUCUUGGGUGAGUUGCGCACGGGUGAGUAACGCGUAGGUAACCUGCCUGGUAGCGGGGGAUAACUAUUGGAAACGAUAGCUAAUACCGCAUAAAAUUGAUUAUUGCAUGAUAAUUAAUUGAAAGAUGCAACUGCAUCACUACCAGAUGGACCUUCGUUGUAUUAGCUAGUUGGUGAGGUAACGGCGCACUAAGGCGGGGAUACAUAGCGGACGGGAGAGGGUGGGUGGCCGGCCUGGGACGGUGACAGGGCCCAGACUGAUUCGGGAGGGAGCAGUAGGGAAUCGUCGGCAAUGGGUGGAAAACAGUGCGCGCUGCGCGGAGGGAGUGAAGAAGGUUGUCGGGUCGUAAAGCUCGGUUGUAGGGGUAGAAAGGGCGUGAGAGUGGAAAGAACAGUCUGUGACGGUAUCGGACCAGAAAGCGACGGCUAACUACGUG
rnacentral:rRNA from 1 species